UGGUGGAGGGUAUGCGAGUGAGAAUGCAGGCAUGAGUAGCGAAUCACGGGUGAGAAACCCGUGCGCCGGAUGAUCAAGGGUUCCAGGGUCAAGCUAAUCUGCCCUGGGUUAGUCGGGGCCUAAGGCGAGGCCGACAGGCGUAGUCGAUGGAUAACGGGUUGAUAUUCCCGUACCGACGAAGAACCGUCCAUACCAAGACUUUGAUGCUAACCAUGCGAAGCGGUUUGUAACCUCUUGUUUUUCAAGGGGAGCUUACCGUGGGUUGUGGGAUCCGAUUUGUGGCGGUAAGCGUAUUAACAGGUGUGACGCAGGAAGGUAGCCAAGCCACGCGAUGGUUGUCGUGGUCUAAGCAUGUAGGGUAUCGGUUUGUUAAAUGCGGCCGUGUUUGCCUGAGAUGUGAUGGGACCCCGUUUGUGGGGGAUUUGGUGAUCCUAUGCUGUCGAGAAAAGCAUCGGCGUGAGGUUCUAGUUGCCCGUACCCUAAACCGACACAGGUGAUCAGGUAGAGAAUACUAAGGCGAUCGAGAGAAUCAUGGUUAAGGAACUCGGCAAAAUGCCCCCGUAACUUCGGGAGAAGGGGGACCUUGAGCGUGAAGGGCACUUGCUGCUUGGAGCGUGUAUGGGUCGCAGAGACCAGGGGGAAGCGACUGUUUAUCAAAAACACAGGUCCGUGCGAAGUCGUAAGACGAUGUAUACGGACUGACUCCUGCCCGGUGCUGGAAGGUUAAGAGGAUUGGUUAGCAUUUAUGUGCGAAGCUGAGAAUUUAAGCCCCAGUAAACGGCGGUGGUAACUAUAACCAUCCUAAGGUAGCGAAAUUCCUUGUCGGGUAAGUUCCGACCUGCACGAAUGGAGUAACGACUUCCCUACUGUCUCAACCAUGAACUCGGCGAAAUUGCAGUACGAGUAAAGAUGCUCGUUACGCGCAGCAGGACGGAAAGACCCCGUGACCUUUACUAUAGUUUGGUAUUGGCGUUCGGUGUGGCUUGUGUAGGAUAGGUGGGAGAUGUUGAAGCGGGCACGCUAGUGUUCGUGGAGUCGUUGUUGAAAUACCACUCUGGUCAUUCUGGAUGUCUAACUUCGGGCCAUGAUCUGGUUCAGGGACAGUGCCUGAUGGGUAGUUUAACUGGGGCGGUUGCCUCCUAAAGAGUAACGGAGGCGCCCAAAGGUUCCCUCAGCCUGGUUGGCAAUCAGGUGUUGAGUGUAAGUGCACAAGGGAGCUUGACUGUGAGACUGGCAGGUCGAGCAGGGACGAAAGUCGGGACUAGUGAUCCGGCGGUACAUUGUGGAAUGGCCGUCGCUCAACGGAUAAAAGGUACCUCGGGGAUAACAGGCUGAUCUUGCCCAAGAGUCCAUAUCGACGGCAUGGUUUGGCACCUCGAUGUCGGCUCGUCGCAUCCUGGGGCUGGAGUUGGUCCCAAGGGUUGGGCUGUUCGCCCAUUAAAGCGGUACGCGAGCUGGGUUCAGAACGUCGUGAGACAGUUCGGUCCCUAUCCGCUGCGUGCGUUGGAAAUUUGAGAAAGGCUGUCCUUAGUACGAGAGGACCGGGACGGACGAACCUCUGGUAUGUCAGUUGUACCGCCAGGUGCAUGGCUGAUUGGCUACGUUCGGGAGGGAUAACCGCUGAAAGCAUCUAAGCGGGAAGCCUGUUUCGAGAUGAGAUUUCCUGGCAGUGUUGU
rnacentral:rRNA from 1 species